rnacentral:rRNA from 1 species
GAUGAACGCUGGCGGCGUGCUUAACACAUGCAAGUCGAACGGAAAGGCUCCUGCUUGCAGGGGUACUCGAGUGGCGAACGGGUGAGUAACACGUGGGUGAUCUGCCCUGCACUUCGGGAUAAGCCUGGGAAACUGGGUCUAAUACCGGAUAGGACCACAUUUUGGAUGGUGUGGUGGAAAGUUUUUCGGUGUGGGAUGAGCUCGCGGCCUAUCAGCUUGUUGGUGGGGUAAUGGCCUACCAAGGCGUCGACGGGUAGCCGGCCUGGGAGGGUGUACGGCCACAUUGGGACUGAGAUACGGCCCAGACUGCUACGGGAGGCAGCAGUGGGAAAUAUUGCACAAUGGGCGCAAGCCUGAUGCAGCGACGCCGCGUGGGGGAUGACGGCCUUCGGGUUGUAAACUCCUUUCGCUAGGGACGAAGCGCAAGUGACGGUACCUGGAGAAGAAGCACCGGCUAACUACGUG